rnacentral:rRNA from 1 species
GACGAACGCUGGCGGCGUGCUUAACACAUGCAAGUCGAGCGGUAAGGCCCUUUCGGGGUACGACGAGCGGCGAACGGGUGAGUAACACGUGGGUGACCUGCCCUCAGCUCUGGGAUAAGCCUGGGAAACUGGGUCUAAUACUGGAUAUGACUCCACGGUGCAUGUCGUGGGGUGGAAAGCCUUGUGCGGCUGAGGAUGGGCCCGCGGCCUACCAGCUUGUUGGUGGGGUGAUGGCCUACCAAGGCGACGACGGGUAGCCGGCCUGAGAGGGCGACCGGCCACACUGGGACUGAGACACGGCCCAGACUCCUACGGGAGGCAGCAGUGGGGAAUCUUGCGCAAUGGGCGAAAGCCUGACGCAGCGACGCCGCGUGAGGGAUGACGGCCU